CUAAAGGCUCUGCCCCAAUGUAUGGAUUCAUGCUGUGACUGUGGGAGUGGAGUGGUUGUCCCUGGAGUAAUUUCCUGAGGAAGAAGAAGUCCAUUCCCUCUCCUCUUGCCCUCCCUUUCACCCUCUGGAGUUCUGCUACAGGAUGACCCCGCAAGGCACACCUUGACAUUGGACUUCCCAGCCUCUACACUAUAAGAAAUAAAUUUCUUUAUAAAUUGUGCAGUCUGUGGUAUUCUUUCAUGGCAACACAAAGCAGACUAAGACAUACACAAAACAAUGAUACUGCCAAAUCACUGGAAUAAUGUGUGAUUCAUUUUCUCAGGAAAAGGAAUAGGAUUGUUCUGGCCCAUCUGUACUCUCUCAGCUCCACUGACCCAGCACACACACAAGAGCAGUGAUCAGAGGACUAACGGCAGCAACUGGAAGCCAUGGCAUAGCGAGAAGCAGAGGACCCGUGCAGGGACAGUCCCUGAACUCUGAGCCAAGUCCACUGGCGGGAACCUCAGCAGCCACACAGCCACCCUGAAAGGCGCCGGGGUCUGCUCCACUGUUGCACUGCUCGCAGCCACACCUGCUACCACCAAAGCAGGUUACAUGUCUUCUUAGCAAUUCCAUUGGUGGAAGGAUCUGGAUUUACUCCGCAUUCAUCCAACAUCAACCAAGUAACAACCAGGUACCAGGCACACGACUAUUCUAGGAACUGAAGAUGCACAGGCAAACAGGCAAAGCCUCUGUUUUAAUGGACCUUCCUUUUCUACUGCGGAUGAACUGAUGAACAGUGGAGAAUUGGAAAGCAAUUCCAGAAAAUAUUACUCCAGUGGGAAAAACUGACUAGAGUAAUGUAUUACGGGAGGAGCCUGCCAUUGUGGCCUACAGACAACUCCAGCCUACUGCCUGCUUUUAUAUGGCCCAUGAGCUAAGACAAGCUCUUACUCUGAACUCCAAUCCAGUGGAAUGUUAUCUUCCCAAGAAAAUUCCUUUCUUCUCUAGAUCUACAUCAUGAAAAUUACAUUCAGUUCUGUUCUAUUUUUAAUUUCAUUAAAGAAAUUGUGCACAUUUAUUUCUCCUGCUGUCCUCUAUGUACCUACAUAAUACCAUGGCUUUUUCCUCCUGAU
rnacentral:lncRNA from 1 species